GCCGAGAUGUGCAGGAUACUGUUAGCCGCACCAUGAAAACCUUGAUAGACAACAACCUAGCAAAGCAAUACAAUUUCACGGGCCAUAAGGGGAAAAGAAAGUGUGAGGGCCUUAACAAAACAGGCAUUAUUUUUCAUUACACAGUCACUAUGAACUAUGAGUGAAGACCUGUAGGAGUAUGAUUCUGAAGGAACUGAUGGCAGUUACAGAGAUUUCAGAUUCAGACGAAACUUUGCCGCCAUCUGACAAAGAAACAAAGUCACCUCUUGAGGAAUGUGUUCAAGAAGUUGAAUGGUCCCAGUCACCAUUAGGAUAUUUUGUAAGUCAUGGUGAAGGAAAACAUGUUAAAAAGUGUCAAGUGAUUUUUAACAGGACUACAUUUUUAUGCCCCCAAAGGUGGGUAUCUAGUGAUUGCAUUUCCGUCUGUAUGUCCGUCUGUCCGUCAUACUUUUUCAAAUGUCUGUGCUUUGAGGUUAUAUUUUACUUUUUACAUAGAAUGUCAAUGGAGAAGGAUUAGCAGAUUGUAAGCCAUCAUCCAAGUUAUAAGACUACAUCAAUGUUCACUUCAUUUUCAUCAACAUACAGCAAUAACAUCUGACAGUAUUGUGGUCUCAUUGGAUGCAAAAAAAGGUUAUGGUUGUUUUUCAAUGUCAUUGUUUGCAAAUACAUGCAUUUGGUAAUCAUAUAGUAUUGCUUAUACAUAUUUCAUCUCUAUCAUUAUCCCCACGUUUUUCGGAGAAAAAGUGGGGAUAUUGUGAUGUGCUUCUGUCCGUCCUUCCAUCCUGGCCACCUGCUCCUCCUACACUAUUAGCACUAGAACCCUGAAACUUACAUAACUGGUAGCUAUGAGCAUAUGUGCGACAGUGAUAGUGACGAAAUUUUGAUCUGACCCCUGGGUCAAAAGUAAUGGGGGUUGGAGCGGGGCCGGGUCAGAGAUUUUCACUCAUUUUUUAUGUUAUUUUACAUUAACUUCUUCAUUUCUGCACCGAUUUACUUCAAAUUGAUACUGAGCCUCUCUUAUGACAAUACGGUCAAUCUCAACUAUGCAUGGCCCCAUUACCAACCCUGGGGCGCCCGGCCACAUAGGCCACGCCCACCCAAAAUUGCCUUUUACUAUAAUUUCUUCAUUUCUUCACCGAUUCACUUCAAAUUGAUACUGAACAUCUCUUAUGACAAUACGGUCAAUGUCAGCUAUGCAUGGCCCCAUUACCAACCCUAGGGCACCCCGCCCACAGGGGCCACGCCCACAUAGGCCACGCCCACCCAAAAUUGCCUUUUACUAUAAUUUCUUCAUUUCUACACCGAUUCACUUAAAAUUGAUACUGAAUCUCUCUUAUGACAAUAUGGUCAAUCUCAGCUAUGCAUGGCCCCAUUACCAACCAUGAGGUUGCCCCGCCCACUCCAAAUUGCCUUUUACUAUAACUUCUUCAUUUCUACACCGAUUCACUUCAAAUUGAUACUGAACCUCUCUUAUGACAAUACGGUUAAUCUCAACUAUGCAUGGCCCCAUUACCAACCCUGGGGCGCCCCGCCCACAUAGGCCACGCCCACCCAAAAUUUCCAUUUACUAUAAUUUCCUUAUUUCUACACCGAUUCACUUUAAAUUGAUACUAAACCUCUCUUAUUACAAUACAGUCAAUCUCAACUAUGCAUGGCCCCAUUACCAACCCUGGGGCGCCCCGCCCACAUAGGCCACGCCCACCCAAUAUUGCCUUUUACUAUAAUUUCCUCAUUUCUAUACCGAUUCACUUCUAAUUGAUACUGAACUUCUCUUAUGACAAUACGGUCAAUCUCAACUAUGCAUGGCCCCAUUACCAACCCUGGGGCGCCCCUGGGUCAAACAUGCGGCGUGGAGAUACGCGUCGGCCUCUGCCGCGCCAUUUCUAGAAACCGUCACCAACUGUUUUAAUGUGUAAUAAGAUGUUUUUUAUCUGUUUUUUUUUGCGGAUUUUAGAAAUUUGAUUGUUAUAAAUUCAUUAAAAGAAAUCUUAUUGCACAUAACAUAUUAUUUAUUAAUUAACUUUGGUAAAAGAAUAUACAAAUACAACAUGUAGGCAGAUAUUGCUGAUCUCUACGAGAUAUUGCUGAUCUCUACGGUAAUAAUGAUAGUUUCCCGAUAUCACAUACAUAUAUCUAGAUAUGAUUUCUGGGAUAUAUUAAGAUCCUUUCUUGUAAAAUGGUUUCAGCUCAAUUACUCAGUUGAAUGAAACAAAAAGAGCUAAUUUAUUAAAAAGUGAUCAUUGAAAAUAUGAAACUUUAUAUCAUGGUUAAUAAAUUAUAAUGACUUCAUAAUGGUUUGAUGGCUGGAUUCAAGGUCUAUAUGAUGAGUGUAAUGAAUAAUACACAACUGGUUUUAGCCCAAUAAAUUGAGAUUUAUUUAUGCUAUUAUAAUGGCACUUUGAAUUGCACAUGGUGUUUGUUUUGCAAUUCAAAAUUACUGCAGUAAAAAUAUUGUUUCCGCUCAAUAGCUUAACACAUGAAAUUAUAUUGUCUAUCUUAAUUGUCAAUGCAUAAUUGGUUCAAAAUAUUAUCUAUUGUUUAACAAGUAUAGCUUUACAUAUUAAUUGAAGGUACAGGUUUGUCACUUUAAAUGACUUUGUAGUUUGAAAUUCAAAUUAAAAAGAAAUGUCAGCAUACAAAAGGCAGCCAUAAGCGUAUUAGCACAUUGUUCUUCAUUAGGUUUAUCAUUAAAAACAAUCAUUGUUUCUUUGUUCCUGUCAUUGAUAAAACAAAGAAAUGAACUUGGUGAGGGUUGAUACGCCUCAAAUAGACUAAACAUGAUAUCCCUCCCCAGUGAAUUCCGUUCAGCUUAAUUGUCAUGCAAGCUCAAUAGAAGAUAUGUUAUACCUUUUGAAAUGUUACUAAAAUAGAAAUAACUUUAAUGUUACAUAUCAUUUUGUUUAGUUUAAAAUUACAAAUUUAUUCUGUGUGCGUAUGCUUACCAAGAUAUCUAUUUUCUGCUCUACUGUUAACUGGUAUUGCAAUAGGUUUUGAAAACAAUGAAUACAUUUUGAUAAAAAAAACAACAUGUGAAACUAGAACACUUAAAGUUCUUGAGCAUAUAUAAUUUGUUUUCCACCUGCCACAUUUUAGUAAUGCAUUAUUUGCAGAAAAAAACUGAAUUGUUACAUGUAUUCAUGUAAAAUUGCACAUUUAAAGGUAGCGCACCCAUAAUGAUUUCCCGCGAUUUCUUCGAAGAUUGAAGAGCCAGUGUAAAGUUGGCGUGGCCGAGUGGUAAAGGCGAUAGACUUAAAAUCUUUUGGGAUUUUCCCUUGCAGGUUCGAAUCCUGCCGACAACGCAUACUUUUUGUGAUGCGUUUUAUUUCUUAUCUAACGUAAUUUGAUUUAAUAUAGCAUAUAAGCUAUGUUUAUUAUCCACAUGUUUUUCGGAGAAAAAGUGGGGAUAUUGUGGUAAUGUGCGUCUGUCCGUCCGUCUGUCCGUCCUGGCCACCUGCUCCUCUUACACUAUUAGCACUAGAACCUUGAAACGUACAUACAUGGUUGCUAUGAGCAUAUGUGCGACGGUGACAGUGACAGAAUUUUGAUCUGACCCCAGGGUCAAAAGUUAUGGGGAUUGGGGCGGGCCGGGUCAGAGAUUUUCAAUCAUUUUUUAUGUUAUUUUACACUAACUUCUUCAUUUCUGCACUGAUUUACUUCAAAUUGAUACUGAGCCUCUCUUAUGACAAUAAGGUCAAUCUCAACUAUGCAUGGCCCCAUUACCAACCCUGGGGCGCCCCGGCCACAUAGGCCACGCCCACUCAAAAUUGCCUUUUACUAUAAUUUCUUCAUUUCUACACCGAUUCACUUCAAAUUGAUACUGAACCUCUCUUAUGACAAUACAGUCAAUCUCAGCUAUGCAUAGCCCCAUUACCAACCCGAGGGCACCCCGCCCACAUAGGCCACGCCCACCCAAAAUUGCCUUUUACUAUAAUUUCUUCAUUUCUACACCGAUUCACUUCAAAUUGAUACUGAACCUCUCUUAUGACUAUAUGGUCAAUCUCAGCUAUGCAUGGCCCCAUUACCAACCCUGGGACGCCCCGCCCACAUAGGCAAUGCCCACAUAGGCCACGCCCACCUAAAACUGCCUUUUACUAUAAUUUCUUCAUUUCUACACCGAUUCACUUCAAAUUGAUACUGAACCUCUUUUAUGACAAUACAAACAAUCUCAACUAUGCAUGGCCCCAUUACCAACCCUGGGGCGCCCCGCUCACAUAGGCCACGCCCACCCAAAAUUGCCUUUUACUAUAAUUUCUUCAUUUCUACACCGAUUUACUUCAAAUUGAUACUGAACAUCUCUUAUGACAAUACGGUCAAUCUCAACUAUGUACGACCCCAUUACCAACCCUGGGGCGCCACGCCCAUAAUAGGCCACACCCACCCAAAAUUGUCUUUAUCCCCACGCUUUUUGAAAAGCGUGGGAAUAUUGUGGUUAUCUCCGCCGUCCGUCCGUCCUGGCCACUAUCUCCUACAAUAUUAGCACUAGAACCUUGAAACUUACACACAUGGUAGCUAUGAGCAUAUUAGCGACCCUGCACUUUUUAGCUCACCUGAGCACAACGUGCUCAUGGUGCGCUAUUGUGAUCGCCUUUUGUCCGUCGUGCGUCAUCAACAUUUACCUUGUUAACACUCUAGAGGCCACAUUUAUUGUCCAAUCUUCAUGAAACUUUCUCAGAACGUGUGUCCCAAUAAUAUCUUGAACGAGUUCGAAAAUGGUUCCGGUUGAUUGAAAAACAUGGCCGCCAGGGGGCGUGGCAGUUUUAUAUAAAGAAAACCUUGUUAACACUCUAGAAGUCACAUUUAUUGUCCGAUCUUCAUGAAACUUUGUCAGAACAUGUGUCCCAAUAAUAUCUUGGACGAGUUCGAAAAUGGUUUCGGUUGGUUGAAAAACAUGGCCGCCAGGGGCGUGGCAGUUUUCCUUAUAUGGCUAUAGUAAAACAUUGUUAACACGCUAGAAGUCACAUUUUUAGUCCAAUCUUCAUGAAACUUUGUCAGAACAUGUGUGCCAAUAAUAUCUUGGACGAGUUCGAAAAUGGUUCCGGUUGGUUGAAAAACAUGGCCGCCAGGGGGCGUAGCAGUUUUCCUUACAUGUAUAUGGCUAUAGUAAAACCUCGUUAACACUCUAGAAGUCACAUUUUUAGUCCAAUCUUCAUGAAACUUGGUCAAAACAUGUGUCCCAAUAAUAUCUUGGACGAGAGCAAACAUGGUUCCAGUUGAAUGAAAAACAAAGCCGCCAUGAGGCGGGGCAGUUUUCCUUAUAUGGCUUUACUGUAUGGUAAAACCUUGUUAACACUCUAGAAGUCACAUUUGUGGUCCAAUGCUCAUGAAACUUGGUCAGAAUAUUUGAAUAAUAAUAUCUGGGCUAAGUUCAAACAUGGUUGAGAUCAGUAAAAAAACAUGGCCGCAAGGGGGUGUGGCAUUUUUCCUUAAAUGGCUAUUUACUACAAAACCUUGUUAACACUCUUGAAGUCACAUUUAUUAUCCAAUCUUAAUGAAACUUGAUCUGAACAUUUGUUCUAACAAUAGCUUGAGUGAGUUUGAAAAUGGUUAUGGUUUGUUGAAAAUCAUGGCCGCCAGGGGGGGGGGCAGUUGUCCUUAUAUGGCUUUAGUGAAAACUUGUUGACACUAUAUUAGCCACAUUUAUUGGCCAAUCUUCAUGAAACUUGGUCAGAACAUUUGUCCCAAUGAAAGUUUGCCAGAGAUUGAAUCUGGGUCAUAUGAGCUCAAAAACUAGGUCACAAGGUCAAAUAUAAAAAAACAUGUUAAAAGUCACUAUUUUGGUCCAAAAUAAUCUUCAUGAAUCAGCUUGCAUUUUUUUCAGAAUAGUCUAGUUCCUUUGGCUUUCAGGUGAGCGCCUUAGGGCCUGAUGGCCCUCUUGUUGAAAUUUUGAUCUGACCCCUGGGUCAAAAGUUAUGGGGGUUGGGGUGGGGCCAGGUCAUAGAUUUUUACUCAUUUUUUAAGGUUAUUUUACUAUAAUUUCUUCAUUUCUACACCGAUUGUCUUCAAAUUGAUACUGAACCUCUCUAAUGACAAUACAGUCAAUCUCAACUAUGCAUGGCCCCAUUACCAACCCUAGGGCGCCCGCCCACAUAGGCCACGCCCACCCAAAAUUGCCAUUUACUAUAAUUUCUUCAUUUCUACACCGAUUCACUUCAAAUUGAUAAUGAACCUCUCUUAUGACAAUAUGGUCAAUCUCCACUAUGCACGGCCCCAUUAUCAACCGUGAGUCUCCCCGACUACAUAGGCCACGCCCACCCAAAAUUGCCUUUUACUAUAACUUCUUCAUUUCUACACUGAUUCACUUCAAAUUGAUACUGAACCUCUCUUAUGACAAUACGGUUAAUCUCAACUAUGCAUGGCCCCAUUACCAACCCUGGGGCACCCCGCCCACAUAGCCCACGUCCAUCCAAAAUGGCCUUUUACAAUUAUUUCCUUAUUUCUACACCGAUUCACUUCUAAUUGAUACUGAAUUCUCUCAUGACAAUAUGGUCAAUCUCAACUAUGCAUGGCCCCAUUACCAACCCUGGGGCGCCCCUGGGUCAAACAUGCCGAAUGGGGAUACGCGUCAGCCUCUGCCACGCCAUUUCUAGUUGUAGUUAAAUUAUAUUUAAAUGAAUCUAAACGUAUUGAAUGUUUAUUUCAUUUUCAAUAUUUGUCAUCUUAAUUAAUGCAGCAGUACUGUGGGAUGAAGUUAAAAAAUGUAUUAUUUUUAUAUUCCAUCCUUUGGUGAUCGGAGACUACGAAAACAGGUUAGACAAAUCAGGGUGCAAUCCAGGAGGGGGAAGUUCUAAAUAUCUCGUAUACAGCACUGUUGCAGCGUACCAGGUUUCCUUCUCUAUGUGAGAAUUUUAAUAUAUGUAAAAUAUGUUAAUGCAAUCUUUAAUUCUGUCAUAUAAACAAAUAUAUAGUACUUUUUAA